rnacentral:rRNA from 1 species
GACGAACGCUGGCGGCGUGCUUAACACAUGCAAGUCGAACGGUGAAGCCCUUCGGGGUGGAUCAGUGGCGAACGGGUGAGUAACACGUGAGCAACCUGCCCCUGGCUCUGGGACAACCACUGGAAACGGUGGCUAAUACCGGAUACGACCCGCCUCGGCAUCGAGUGUGGGUGGAAAGUUUUUCGGCUGGGGAUGGGCUCGCGGCCUAUCAGCUUGUUGGUGAGGUGAAGGCUCACCAAGGCGACGACGGGUAGCCGGCCUGAGAGGGCGACCGGCCACACUGGACCUGGGACACGGCCCAGCCUCCUACGGGGGGCAGCAGUGGGGAAUAUUGCACAUGGGGCGAAGCCCGGUGGAGGCGACCCCGCGUAGGGAAGGCCGGCUUCGGGUUGUAAACCUCUUUCAGCUCCGAAGAAGCGAAAGUGACGGUAGGAGCAGAAGAAGCACCGGCUAACUACGUG